GCGCAGCUUGGUAGCGCAACUGGUUUGGGACCAGUGGGUCGGAGGUUCGAAUCCUCUCUCGCC
rnacentral:tRNA from 1 species